GAAGUGUUAGUUAAAUUAUAACCUUGUCUUGUCAAGACAAAAUUACUAGUUAAACCCUUGUACCCUUCU
rnacentral:tRNA from 1 species